UACGUAGGGUGCGAGCGUUAAUCGGAAUUACUGGGCGUAAAGCGUGCGCAGGCGGUUUUGUAAGCCAGAUGUGAAAUCCCCGGGCUUAACCUGGGAAUGGCAUUUGGGACUGCAAGGCUGGAGUAUGGCAGAGGGGACUAGAAUUCCUGGUGUAGCAGUGAAAUUCGUAGAUAUUAGGAAGAACACCAGUGGCGAAGGCGGCUCACUGGCCCGGUACUGACGCUGAGGCGCGAAAGCGUGGGGAGCAAACAGG
rnacentral:rRNA from 1 species